CGCGGGCUGUGCGGCGCUGUGAACGAAGAGAUUGGAAAUGGAACAUCAGCAGCACGCACGUCAGACGGAGAGACAGAGAGAUUGAUGAACCCAAUCAGAGCAAAAAUGAAGGGCACACACAAAACGGAAAUGGACGGCUCAGUAACACGCCACGUAAGUUACUCUGUUUGCCAGUAACGUGUGCACAUCAAUAAAAGUGUGGUGGAGUAUUCGGACUGGAAAUAAGGAGAGGCUUUGGGUUGACGAAGAAAACCACGCCCAUUUUCGUUCCUAAUCAAAGCCGCAGAUGUCGUAGUUCACCUUCCAGUUUAGAGUUGAUGCCAACGACGAAUGAACCAAAGUGUUUAGUAGACCAUUCGAGAGCUUUCACUUAGUUAGCAAUUUAUUGAGUGUUACAUUAGUUCCCUAUAUCCUGUUCGGCAAACGCUACAGGCUUCACCCUGGAACCUUCUUCUUUCUCCAUCUUUUGGCUGAUUGACCUUUUGCAAGACAAACUUUUCCAAUGUGUUUGCAAAAACAAAUUCAAAGUGACGCGCGCUCUAAUCAUCCUGCGUUUCCUUUUCUUUCACGCCAAACAAGAUUGCGAUUGGUGAAUGGAUUUCUUCAACUUGGGCAGAUGGAGAAGAGCCGAUGGAUUGAAUAAAAGAAUGGAUUUUCAAUCAUGGAGAGAGAGUGCAUUAAAUAACCAACAACGAUGCCUUGGUAGAAAGCUUCCACCGGAGUGUCUACCAUCAGCCGUCGAAUAAGUGAAAUGAAAAACGAUCUUAUCCUCUUUGACACGUUGACUCGCUGCACUGUUAUCCGAUUUUCAAUCUUAUUCGAUAUAGGUAACUGCAUUUCUAUCUUUUCCUAUAGUGCCUCUGUUUACAUCUUUAAAAUCGUUUUUUUUCUCCUUUUCUUUUUAAUGUCUAAGGGGCAGUCAUUUGUUUGUGCUGCCCCCUUUUAAAAAAUAAACAGAUUCCAACUUGA